GCUGCCCCUCAACUGAAUUUACACAGGACAAAGUUUCUUGCUAUGGCCUUUUUUGUCUGCAGAUCUUGCGAGUGUAUAAUUGCUUUGGCUAUUUGCCUUCUUGUAGAUUUAAAAGAAAAAUGAAGAGAGAAAAUUCUUUUGGUAUGCAUAAAGAAAGAAACAGUGAUGAUCUUUAAAUUAAGGAGCAGUACUUACCGUACUUCUCAUCUGCUCAGCUUGAAGAGCAAGCGCAAAAGCAAUGAAAUCAAGAACAAAUACCACCUUGAAUAGAAG
rnacentral:misc_RNA from 1 species